rnacentral:rRNA from 1 species
GAGCGGCGGACGGGUGAGUAACGCGUAGGAAUCUACCUAGUAGAAGGGGAUAGCCCGGGGAAACUCGGAUUAAUACCGUAUACCUCCUUUGGGAGAAAGAAGGCCUCUCUUUGAAGCUUUCGCUACUAGAUGCGCCUGCGUAAGAUUAGCUUGUUGGUGAGGUAAAGGCUCACCAAGGCGACGAUCUUUAGCGGGUCUGAGAGGACGAUCCGCCACAUUGGGACUGAGACACGGCCCAGACUCCUACGGGAGGCAGCAGUGGGGAAUAUUGGACAAUGGGCGCAAGCCUGAUCCAGCCAUACCGCGUGUGUGAAGAAGGCCCUAGGGUUGUAAAGCACUUUAAGUUGGGAAGAAAAGUUAUUGGUUAAUACCCAAUGACCGUGACAUUACCUUCAGAAUAAGGACCGGCUAAUUCCGUGCCAGCAGCCGCGGUAAUACGGAAGGUCCAAGCGUUAAUCGGAAUUACUGGGCGUAAAGCGCGCGUAGGUGGUUUAUUAAGUUGGAUGUGAAAUCCCCGGGCUCAACCUGGGAACUGCAUCCAAAACUGAUUCACUAGAGUACGAUAGAGGGAGGUAGAAUUCACAGUGUAGCGGUGGAAUGCGUAGAUAUUGUGAAGAAUACCAAUGGCGAAGGCAGCCUCCUGGAUCUGUACUGACACUAAGGUGCGAAAGCGUGGGUAGCGAACAGGAUUAGAUACCCUGGUAGUCCACGCCGUAAACGAUGUCAAGCUAGCUGUUGGGAAACUAUGUUUUUCG